rnacentral:rRNA from 1 species
ACACAUGCAGUCGGACGGUAGCACAGAGGAGCUUGCUCCUUGGGUGACGAGUGGCGGACGGGUGAGUAAUGUCUGGGGAUCUGCCCGAUAGAGGGGGAUAACCACUGGAAACGGUGGCUAAUACCGCAUAACGUCGCAAGACCAAAGAGGGGGACCUUCGGGCCUCUCACUAUCGGAUGAACCCAGAUGGGAUUAGCUAGUAGGCGGGGUAAUGGCCCACCUAGGCGACGAUCCCUAGCUGGUCUGAGAGGAUGACCAGCCACACUGGAACUGAGACACGGUCCAGACUCCUACGGGAGGCAGCAGUGGGGAAUAUUGCACAAUGGGCGCAAGCCUGAUGCAGCCAUGCCGCGUGUAUGAAGAAGGCCUUCGGGUUGUAAAGUACUUUCAGCGGGGAGGAAGGCGGUGCGGUUAAUAACCGCGCCGAUUGACGUUACCCGCAGAAGAAGCACCGGCUAACUCCGGGGCAGCAGCCGCGGUAAUACGGAGGGUGCAAGCGUUAAUCGGAAUUACUGGGCGUAAAGCGCACGCAGGCGGUCUGUUAAGUCAGAUGUGAAAUCCCCGGGCUUAACCUGGGAACUGCAUUUGAAACUGGCAGGCUUGAGUCUUGUAGAGGGGGGUAGAAUUCCAGGUGUAGCGGUGAAAUGCGUAGAGAUCUGGAGGAAUACCGGUGGCGAAGGCGGCCCCCUGGACAAAGACUGACGCUCAGGUGCGAAAGCGUGGGGGAGCAAACAGGAUUAGAUACCCUGGUAGUCCACGCCGUAAACGAUGUCGACUUGGAGGUUGUUCCCUUGAGGAGUGGCUUCCGGAGCUAACGCGUUAAGUCGACCGCCUGGGGAGUACGGCCGCAAGGUUAAAACUCAAAUGAAUUGACGGGGGCCCGCACAAGCGGUGGAGCAUGUGGUUUAAUUCGAUGCAACGCGAAGAACCUUACCUACUCUUGACAUCCACGGAAUUCGGCAGAGAUGCCUCAGUGCCUUCGGGAACCGUGAGACAGGUGCUGCAUGGCUGUCGUCAGCUCGUGUUGUGAAAUGUUGGGUUAAGUCCCGCAACGAGCGCAACCCUUAUCCUUUGUUGCCAGCGAUUCGGUCGGGAACUCAAAGGAGACUGCCGGUGAUAAACCGGAGGAAGGUGGGGAUAAAUCAAGUCAUCAUGGCCCUUACGAGUAGGGCUACACACGUGCUACAAUGGCGCAUACAAAGAGAAGCGACCUCGCGAGAGCAAGCGGACCUCACAAAGUGCGUCGUAGUCCGGAUCGGAGUCUGCAACUCGACUCCGUGAAGUCGGAAUCGCUAGUAAUCGUGGAUCAGAAUGCCACGGUGAAUACGUUCCCGGGCCUUGUACACACCGCCCGUCACACCAUGGGAGUGGGUUGCAAAAGAAGUAGGUAGCUUAACCUUCGGGAGGGCGCUUACCACUGAGAGAU